rnacentral:lncRNA from 1 species
GAGGAUAACAUUAGUAGUCCUCACUAUUCUGUGAAAUAGUGUGAUAAUAAUUGUAAUGAGGACUCCUUUUGAGUUUGUAUAAUCUCUAGUAGACAAUAUUUGUAUUCAAACUCACAGUUUAUGUUUUGUCGUAUUGUACACGACAGUUGUAUUAGUAAGUUGUAUUUGAAUUCUGUACCAUGUAUCUGGCGACCCAAGAUGAAUAAUGUAUACCUAAUUUUGGGGGCGUCACAAGAUAUACAUGUGAUGCGAACUCUAAAAUUUCACGCUGGUUGCAAAG